GAUGAACGCCAGCGGCAGGCCUAACACAUGCAAGUCGAGGGGUAACUAGAGUGAUAGCAAUAUUACUUUGGCUAGACCGGCGCACGGGUGCGUAACACGUAUGCAACCUACCUUAUACUGGGGAAUAACUUCGAGAAAUCGGCGCUAAUACCCCAUAACAUUGCGAAGAGGCAUCUCUUUGCAAUUAAAGCUCCGGCGGUAUAAGACGGGAAUGCGUCCAAUUAGAUAGUUGGUGAGGGAACGGCUCACCAAGGCUACGAUUGGUAGGGGUUCUGAGAGGAUGAUCCCCCACACUGGUACUAAGACACGGACCAGACUCCGACGGGAGGCAGCAGUGAGGAAUAUUGCGCAAUGGACGAAAGUCUGACGCAGCCAUGCCGCGUGCAGGAUGACGGCCCUAUGGGUUGUAAACUGCUUUUGUACGGGGAUAAACCCUUCAACGUGUAGGAGGCUGAAGGUACCGUAAGAAUAAGCACCGGCUAACUCCGUGCCAGCCGCCGCGGUAACAC
rnacentral:rRNA from 1 species